AUUACACUUAAUAUGGUUUUUUUAAAAUUUUGUUACAAAAAUAUGGCAGAUUUAAGUUUGGUCACUUUCUAUUGCAUAUUUUAGUUUUUAAGUUUUUUUAUGGUAUUUACUAUGCCAUAUAUAUGUAAACUUAAUUUUUAAAACCCAUAUUUAAUUUUAGUGUCCUUGAUUUGAUUUCUUCCCCUCUAUUCAACAAUUCUAGCUACGCCACCCCAUCAAUAGCUCUAUUUACCCACAUCCGUUCACCAGCCCCACCUUCUCUAACCUUCAUUGGCACUCAUCUCCAUUUACCAGCUCAUACCCACCUCAACCACACUUCUUUGUCCUAAAGCUUUAAACCUAAACCCACCUCUAGUUCACACACAAUCCAGCAAUUUCCGUACAACUGUGACAACAGUGUCUCCGACAUUACCUUCGACAUUGUGAUCUUCAUCGUCGAGAAAAAUCAACUGUAAGGUUAGACGACCAUUGAAUCGGUGGGCUCGCAAGUACUUGUAAUGAAAGAGCCUCUCCUCCCUUUUAAAGGUUGAAACUAGUUUCACAGAGUUCACCAGUUCAUAGGUUCGAAAUUAGUUUCACAAGGUUCAUAAGUUCGGAACUGGUUUCACAAGUUUUGAGAAUUCUACAAUGAGGUUGCUCCUUUUUAUGAUGUCAUUGUACAUUUUUUAUUUUAAGUUUUUUUUUUAUUUUUUUACUAGGUUCGAAACUGGUUUUCACACAUAUAUUUUUUAGAUUCUUGUUGUGCAUUGUGUACUGUUUUGAUCAUAUUUGUGGACUGAUGAAACUUGUUUCAAUCAUCGUUUAUUAUUUAUAUUUUGUCAUGAUUUAGU